UACAGAGGGUGCGAGCGUUGUCCGGAAUCAUUGGGCGUAAAGGGCGCGUAGGUGGCCUGGUAAGUAGGGGGUGAAAUCUCGCGGCUCAACUGCGAGGCUGCCUCCUAAACUGUCAGGCUCGAGCAGAGUAGAGGCAGGUGGAAUUCCCGGUGUAGCGGUGGAAUGCGUAGAUAUCGGAAGGAACAUCAGUGGCGAAGGCGACUUCCUGGACCAAUACUGACGCUCAGGUGCGAAAGCGUGGGGAGCAAACAGG
rnacentral:rRNA from 1 species